CCUACGGGUGGCAGCAGGGAGGAAUAGUGGGCAAUGGACGAGAGUCUGAACCAGCCAAGUAGCGUGAAGGAUGACUGCCCGAUGGGUUGUAAACUUCGUUUAUAAAGGAAUAAAACGAGGCACGUGUGCCUUUUUGCAUGUACGUUAUGAAUAAGGAUCGGCUAACUCCGUGCCAGCAGCCGCGGUAAUACGGAGGAUCCGAGCGUUAUCCGGCUUGAUUGGGUUUAAAGGGAGCGUAGAUGGGUUGUUAAGUCCGUUGUGAAAGUUUGCGGCUCAACCGUAAAAUUGCAAUUGAUACUGGCAGUCUUGCGUACAGUUGCGGUAGGCGGCCUUCGUGGUGUAGCUGUGAUAUGCUUAGAUCUCAC
rnacentral:rRNA from 1 species